rnacentral:rRNA from 1 species
UACGGAGGGUGCAAGCGUUAAUCGGAAUUACUGGGCGUAAAGCGCGCGUAGGCGGUUUUUUAAGCGAGAUGUGAAAUCCCCGGGCUUAACCUGGGAACUGCAUUUCGAACUGAAUAACUAGAGUGUGGAAGAGGGGUGUGGAAUUUCCGGUGUAGCGGUGAAAUGCGUAGAGAUCGGAAGGAACACCAGUGGCGAAGGCGACACCCUGGUCCAACACUGACGCUGAGGCGCGAAAGCGUGGGUAGCAAACAGG